rnacentral:rRNA from 1 species
UGGGGAAUUUUGCGCAAUGGGGGAAACCCUGACGCAGCAACGCCGCGUGAGUGAUGAAGGCCUUCGGGUCGUAAAGCUCUGUCUAGAGGGAAGAAAUGAUAUUCGGUUAAUACCCGGAUUUCUUGACGGUACCUCUGAAGGAAGCACCGGCUAACUCCGUGCCAGCAGCCGCGGUAAUACGGAGGGUGCAAGCGUUGUUCGGAUUUAUUGGGCGUAAAGCACGUGUAGGCGGUUUGUUAAGUCUGAUGUGAAAGCCCCGGGCUCAACCUAGGAAGUGCAUUGGAAACUGGCAGACUUGAGUACAGGAGAGGGUAGUGGAAUUCCUAGUGUAGGAGUGAAAUCCGUAGAUAUUAGGAGGAACACCGGUGGCGAAGGCGGCUACCUGGACCGAUAUUGACGCUGAGACGCGAAAGCGUGGGGAGCAAACAG